CCUACGGGCGGCUGCAGUGGGGAAUAUUGGACAAUGGGGGCAACCCUGAUCCAGCCAUGCCGCGUGUGUGAAGAAGGCCCUCGGGUUGUAAAGCACUUUCAGUGAGGAAGAACGCCUGGUGGUUAAUACCCAUCAGGAAAGACAUCACUCACAGAAGAAGCACCGGCUAACUCCGUGCCAGCAGCCGCGGUAAUACGGCGGGUGCGAGCGUUAAUCGGAAUUACUGGGCGUAAAGCGCGCGUAGGUGGCUUGAUAAGCCGGUUGUGAAAGCCCCGGGCUCAACCUGGGAACGGCAUCCGGAACUGUCAAGCUAGAGUGCAGGAGAGGAAGGUAGAAUUCCCGGUGUAGCGGUGAAAUGCGUAGAGAUCGGGAGGAAUACCAGUGGCGAAGGCGGCCUUCUGGACUGACACUGACACUGAGGUGCGAAAGCGUGGGUAGCAAACAGGAUUAGAUACCCCAGUAGUC
rnacentral:rRNA from 1 species